rnacentral:rRNA from 1 species
GACGAACGCUGGCGGCGUGCUUAACACAUGCAAGUCGAACGGAAAGGCCCUGCUUUUGUGGGGUGCUCGAGUGGCGAACGGGUGAGUAACACGUGAGUAACCUGCCCUUGACUUUGGGAUAACUUCAGGAAACUGGGGCUAAUACCGGAUAGGAGCUCCUGCUGCAUGGUGGGGGUUGGAAAGUUUCGGCGGUUGGGGAUGGACUCGCGGCUUAUCAUCUUGUUGGUGGGGUAGUGGCUUACCAAGGCUUUGACGGGUAGCCGGCCUGAGAGGGUGACCGGCCACAUUGGGACUGAGAUACGGCCCAGACUCCUGCGGGAGGCAGCAGUGGGGAAUAUUGCACAAUGGGCGGAAGCCUGAUGCAGCAACGCCGCGUGCGGGAUGACGGCCUUCGGGUUGUAAACCGCUUUCGCCUGUGACGAAGCGUGAGUGACGGUAAUGGGUAAAGAAGCACCGGCUAACUACGUG